rnacentral:piRNA from 1 species
UGGUAGCCUUUUGUUGCAACUUUUGGA